CUACUCCAGUUCCAACCAAUCAGCUUUAACCAUUUUCUCAUUUGCAUAGCCGCAGUGCUAAAGAGUAUAAAUUUUGCUUCCUGACUAGGAUAUUUUCAUUACUUCCUCCCGACAUCUCUAGACGAAAGACAAGACGGACAAAGCAGGAACAAGCAUGAAAGUCUUCACAGCUCUCGUGAUUGUCCUUACUGUAGCCCUGAUGGUGGAUGUUGGACAUGGAUGGCGACGCCGACGCGCGGGAAUGAAGCGGGGUCAGGAGUUGGAAGAGGAUGCAGCCUGGGAGCAGCACAUGGGGAAGUUGGACAAGCUGGCCGACUUACUGAAGGAAGAGGCCGCAGACAUGCUUGACCAGCUGAAACGGGAGAAGCUGACCGCCAUGGAGGUGGAAAACGACCUUGACGAGAUGGAAGAGCUGGAUGAAAAAUAGAGAAUCCAGGGCACCUUCUCGUGCACAUACCAGGACCUGAACCUGAAGCUUGCACGAUGACAGUAGCAUAUCAGUAGUAAAUCAGUAACAGUCAGUAGACCAUUUAACCACAGACAGUAGACAUGCAGUUUUGUAGUGCCUUCAGUGAAAGUCCAUACCAUUCCUUCUGGGUCAACUAUGCCAUGUUUAACAUCACUUGAUACGAUCAUUUCUAAGUCAGUGGAAAAUGCAAUCUUUUUAUUUCAUGGUAAAGUAUUUUUACUUUCAUGGUAAAGUUUCUGAUACAUAUGUGACUAUUAGACCAGCAAGACUUACAAGCAUAUGGCACACAAUUCUGUACACUAGAUGCAACUUGGUGAAAUAAAGGGGAAAUGUUAAAAACAUGUGACUUGAGUCGAACUUCCUACGAAGGAAUCAAAUGUUGAAAAGGA